AGACUGGUGCUAAAGGCCUUGUCAGCAAAGACAGAAACAGAAAACAUUGCAGGAUAGAGCAAUGGCCAUAGCAACAACAUCACAUUAAUCAGAGCCUGUAGUCUAUGCAAAGACGAACUUCCCAAACCAACAAACUGCACACCAACAAGUUCCCUUUCUGUCCAGAAACUAGAAACCCCGAGGUAUUUGCUCUUAGACCUCCCUUCUCCAGGAAGUUAAAAAUCUGAGGCUGCAGUACAGAAGACAAUACCAGGAGAGACUUCAUAUUACCGUGCUGCAGCCAGGAGGGCCUGUGAGCCUUCCUGAGCAGGUGUACAGAUGACAGAGGUCAGCACAAGACCAACACUGCACAGAAAGUCUUAGAAGGAAGGUCUCUGAAAGACACCAUCUGACUUAGACAAUCUGUGUGUUUUGCCACAACUAGUGACAGUCCUUCAGCAGAGGGAGACUCCAGGCUUUGCAUCAUGGACUGUACCCAGAGACCAAAUAGGGGUGAUGUAGCUGUGGAAGGCUGAAGGUUAGCAGGCAGCUGGGGUGUCAGUCUGAAGGCCAGCUUGCCUCUCCAGAAGUGGACUUCGGAUGUGUGCAGACAUGGACUCCACUAUGCGAGGUACUAGACUUGCAAAAGGCGAUCUCCCUGGGACUGAAGCCCACUGUUUUUAGUUUGUGGUCAUGGCACAUUUGUUUGCAAAGCACUAUUCAGUCAGCCACAAGUCACAAGGUUCAACCUGCUUGGACUGUGCUUCAGGAACCUUAAACAAACAAACAGCAAAUCAUGAG